CAAACGGCCUUUCUCAAGGCCACACCAAUGUGCGAACCGGUGUCGU
rfam:Ixodes scapularis strain Wikel colony gcontig_1108378908636, whole genome shotgun sequence.